GUCUGGGUGGCUCAGUCGGUUGAGCGUCUGACUUCGGCUCAGGUCAUGAUCUCGCGGUCCGUGAGUUCGAGCCCCACGUCAGGCU
rnacentral:tRNA from 1 species